CAAUAAGUGUUCAAUGGCACUUUUAAAAUCCAUUACCCACCUUGUGUGCAUUGUCAGGAGAAAGAAAUUCCCCCUUGGGAAUCUUUUUCUCUUUUUCAUUUCACUCUUUUUAACAUCAGUCUACAUCAAUUGAGAAUUAAAAAUCUCUAAUA
rnacentral:misc_RNA from 1 species